AAUUUAGGGGGUUACGUUAGGCUACUUUCGUAAUGGCAGAGUAGGUAUUUUUUUGAAAAUAUAAUAGAUCCAAUGGCUAUGAUGAUGCGAUUGCCAAAUUGAUUGCUAGAUGUUUAGCUUUUCUGAAAGAAUUUUAAAAAAAUUCUAGAAUGUUCACCUAGGAUUCUAUGUGGUAUCAUGUGGACAAUUAGAUAUGAGUUGACUUAGAGAGCCCCUUCGUCUCGUCGCCGCCUCCACUGCCGUCCUCUAGGGCUCCAUCGCGGCUGAUGAGCAAGCAGCAUCCGCAUUUAACUUGAGAGAUACGAGCCAAGUCUAAAACACUCAAAAUCUGAAGCAACAUAUAGUUGUUUCUCUUUACUAUUUUGUCUGAUUUUCUCUGUAUUACCCGUGGGAGGUCGGGCAGUUGGUGGUAGCUGCGAGGCUUCGUUUUAGUGUUUGGAUUUGAAACUGUCUGUAUUCUCGGGCAUGGGUGCCUGGCGUUUUGUGCCGGACGAAACCAGUUUUUGUGCUUGCAGCAAUCUGGAGACAGUUGCAACUUCGCCUGUGAUCCAGUGAGCCCCUUUUCUGAUUAUAAAAGAAGGAAAAGGCAUCGGCAUCUGGCAUCCUAAACAUUUGCCGUUCAGAACUUGCUAGCAUUGCAAACUGCAGAUCAGUAUAGCAUUACAAUCGGAUGACAAAUAUAUCAAAUGGUUAUGUAUUUUUAGCAACAAGAAGAUCCAGCAUGGAGAAGAAUGUUAAUUGAAGAGAAUAUGAUACUCGUACAAGCACGAAUUUCAGGCUUUCAACAGAAAGAUGAUCUUUCGAUUAUACAACAUUCAUCUCUCCUCUCCUGUCUUCUCUAGAAGGCAGAAAAAAUAGCGAAAGGUCUCCCGUCGCGCUCCCGCUCCUCCUCCCUGUCCUCCUCGGGCGUCGGAGUGCCGCCGCCGCCGUCCUCCUCUUUCUCCUCCGGCGUGGGAGUAGCGGUCAGCUCGUGGCGGCAGAGAGGGCAGACGGCGUUGCGGCGGAGCCACUGGGAGAUGCAGUGUUGGUGGAAGGCGUGGGAGCAGGGCAUCGCCCUGAGCGUCUCCUCGGCGCGGAAGUCCUGCAGGCAGACGGCGCACUCGUCCCCCGAGCGACCCGUCACCUCCUGCAGGCCCAGGAUGGCAUCCUCGGUGGCGGCGACGCGAGCGCGCUUGCUGCUGCGGGGGGCUUCCGAGCUCGCCCUCCGGGGAUAAAAUUCCGGCCAAUGCACCCAUGCGGGAAUGUCGUCGUCGGUGGGCAUCGGGCUACUAUCAUCAGUAAUAAUUAUUAUCUCCAGCGGGUAACCUUGGCCUUGCGCAAUGUCCAUCGGCGAGGAUCGGGGGAGAGAAGAACUGAAGACGCCCGGUCGGACGGGUCUAUCGCUGGAGUGGAGCAGAAAGCAAAGCAAUGCGAUCGAUCGAUCUGCGAAUGUAUCCCUUUGAUUUGCUUACCACUACUAUACAUAGGCUGCCGGCGGAGGCCGGAUCGGAGGCGGUGAUUGAGGACCGGAUCGGAUCGGAAAAGGAACACAUCACCGAUCCAUCUGGAUACUCCGACUCCGAUCCUUGUAGCAGCAGGCGACUCCGAUUCCUGGUCGUCGUCUACUCGAUUCGAUUCCGAACCGAGUGCUGAUCGACGGGAGCUCUCCUGGGCUAGGAUGAUGUUCCCACCGAGUCAGAGUCCUCACAAUCCAUCUUCUAUCUAUAACCACCGGUGUAUAGCAUAGAGGAGGACACCGACAUCUAUUUUCCAUGAUUUAUCUAUUUUCCAUAUAUUAGUUGUAUUUAGCUUUGCAGAAAAGUUUAAGCAAGCUUCAUCAUGUUUCAAACAGAGAUUAAUAUUUUUCCUAGGGAAGCACUGGUGUCAGGAACUCAACAAAAGUGGUUUCACAUUUUCUUCCAUUUAUAAAGCAAAAGACAAGAUCAAACCUAGCAUUUCAAUGUGUGACUCAAAUCAGUAUGUUUAUCAUCUAGUCUAGUACUACAAAAUUCAUAUCUAGAACAAGCACAUCAUAAGUGAACUAACAAAGGUGGAUUUGCAUUUUUAGCAUUUUUAUGUGAUUCAUAGGGUAUUUAAAGGCUUAAACACAAAAUAAAUCCUAGAGGAAAAUCUACAACAGUGACAUGUCCAAAACUAUUUUUCUGUGAAACUAUUUAAAAUCCAGAGUCUAACAAAGUUGGUUUCAUAUUUUAGGGGCUCACUGUGAGGGUUUUUGCCGAAAGGAGCUCGGGCGGAGGUGGCUCGACGGCAGCGGUCCACGAUGGUGCUCCGAGCGUGGCGGUGGGGAGCGGCGUCCGGCGCCGGUGAUGGUGAAGAAGGCCGGAGGCAGGCUCUGAAGGCUGCAGGGCCUCGCGGGUGGUGCACUGGUGGGCUCAGCGGGCGGCGGGGAUGGUCGGAGGGCAACACUCCAUGGCGAGGUGCGCGACGGGGCUCUGGUGUGGGGAAGGCUUGCGUGUGCGCCGACGAGGGGAGGGAGUGAAGCAUUUUAUAGCCGGUGGGGGGGCGAAGGGGUGAGGCUAAGGACGCUCUGGUGCUGGCUAGCGACUGGGGGAGCACUUCAGGGUGGCCGGUGACUGGCGUAGAGCUUGCGGCUCGGUGGUUGGCCGGCAAUGGUGCUAGCGUACUUGGGAAAGCUUUGAUGACUGGCGGGUGAUGAUCCGGUGAAGCUGGGAUCCUCUUUGUCGCGUGCAACGACUGGGCGAGGGGCGCGCGAGACGUCUUGUCGCUGUCGGGCACUACAAAGCAGCGGAGCUGGUGAGGCGUGGCGACGUGGCGGUGGCGUGCGCAGUGUGGCGGGGGCACGCGCGUGGGCGCAGUGCGGCCAUUGGUCGGGAAAGAUGCGCGGCCAGAGGAAAAGAUGGUGCGCACUGGGGGUUGGGCGAGCGGUCGGACCGUGUUGUCCCAUUGGUGGCCAUCAUUGGCAUUCGCACCUGCGUGAACGCGAUGGCGCGGCGUGGCGCCGGUGAGCACGCCGUGCGUGGUCACCGCGCAUUGGCGCGCAUGGCGUGCGUGUAGGGCUGCGCUGGUGCUGGUUUUGGGUGAAGUUUCUCACAUUUUUGAAUUCAAACUUGGCAAAACCCAAAAACAAAAGUUAUUUUCCUAAGUUUAAACAAAAAAAAAAUACAAAGGCCUCACACCCAAAACUUUGCUGGACAAAGAGAUAAAAGCUUGAAGAGUUUGACAGAACGCCGGUUCAAAAGAGUUAGCUAGAAUUUGAGUUAAGUUUGAAAAUUCUCUGAACUUUAUCCCCAUUUUCAACCUUUUCCACUUCAAACCAGGAAAAACUCAAAUAACAAAAGUUGUUUGUUUUGAAAAUUUCUACAACUUUUAUAUUGGAAAAAAGUCACGUUGUUAUAUGAAAUUUGAAUUUAUCUACUACCCCCUAAUUAGUGCUUUUUAGGGCAUUUUUGGUCAUUUAAGUGUUUGCAAUUUUAAUUCAAAUUUGCCUUUUUGAAUUUUUGGAUAUGUUUGCCACAUUUCCAACCUAGUUUGAGUGUUUUUCAUACUUAGCCCUUUGUUUGGCUUGGUUUGGUUCAAAUUUGCCCCCUUGGUAACAUUUCAUGAGUUGAGUGCAAUUGUAAUUCAACCAAAUGACAAGUUUAAAACUUAAGUGCAAAUUUGUAUUCUUAAGCACUCUAAUUAGCCUUUUUAAAAGUCUACCAAAACUAGGGAUGUUACAGCGACAAGGAACAGGAUGGGCUCUGAGGCCUGCUCGAGCGGAAUGGACUGCCGGUGCAGUCUGACCUCGCCCAUGUCGUGGAGAGGCUGGAGGAGAUCCUGGCAAGGUCUAAGGCUGCUCACGAGGUCGUGUCAAUUGACUUGCCCUGUGCCACCAAGUUAGGCUGAUCCUGGCUUCAUUUCUUAUUUCUUGGCGUUGCGAGGUCGCCUUAACGCGCGCACUCUUAUCCUGCAGAACUUGGCAGCGCUGUCGGCUCGCAAAUCCCAGUUCCUCUAGGAAGAACAUGUUCGGCAGGAGUGAGAUGCGGCGGCAUCACGGCAGGUCGGGGACAAAGCAAGCGUCUCGAGCGCAUGCCAAGCAGGAGGCUGUUCGGCUGUAGGAGAGGGUGAACCAGUAGGAUGAGGGGCUCGCUAUCCUUGAGAGCGUCAGUCAAGAGCUGGGUGAGAGCAUUGCCCUUCUGCGUCAAGAGCUGCAGCAGUCGGAGGAGGGCCACGUCGCAGUCGUUGCUGUGAAGGAGUAAGUCCCGUUGUCUCGUGAGUUCAAGCCGGGGUCGUACCUAUUUUCUUUUGACCUUUUGCUGAAUUGGUCUCUUGUGCAAUCCUGGAGGCGGAGUUGAGGAUGACCUAGGCGGCGGUCAGUCGAAACGCGGAGGCGUUGGCCCGGUCCCUGGAGGAGCACGCCACCAUCGAGGGUAAGCUGAACCAACUUCGCGACGUGGCAUAGGUGGUGGUCACCAAGGUGUUCGGGUCGGUCCUGAGUACCAGCACACCUACCAUUCUGCUCACAAGUAUUCCAGACAUGGUCCAGACACUCAUCUCCGACAGUGUGUUCCACGGGGCAUCGGGGGUGCUGAUGUUGGUGGCGACGCACUACCCCACUCUGGACUUCGAUGCGGUCUGUAGAGGGUAUGCCGACGGUUGGAGCACGGAGGGAAUCCAGAUGCUAGGUCAGAACUUGGCCUUGUGCGCGCGGGUUGUCGCCGCAAACAUCACCGCGCAGUGGGUAAUGGAGGCCCAUCACGUGUGGGUGGCCACACGCACGAGUUGGGAGAGCAUCGUCAGCCCUAUUGUAGCGGUGGAGACUGGGAUGGAGCAGGGCGCUGACCUGACCGCGACUGAUCCGAGGGUCGACCCGACUACAGCUAUGGAGUCUUCGUCCUUGCCACCCGCGCUGCCAACCGACCCGACCGAGGGGGAGCAAUAGAAUAUAAGUAGUUAGUUUUUCUGUGAGCCCCGACUGAACAAUUUUAAGUUUAUUUGUAAUCGUGUUGGGGAACUAGUCCCGCCCGUUCUCGUUAAUUAGUGUAAAUUCAUUUUUCAUUAUUUAAAUCACAGAAAUUUCUAUGAGUGUCCAAAAUUAGUGAAACCAAUUUUGUUAGGAUUUUUUUAUUUUCCUUUAUGCAUUAAAAUUCUUAUACCUUAGAAAAAAUAAUAAAAUUUAGGUAUUUGUUUAAUUCCUUUUCAUUAAGGUAUUUAAAUAAAUACUUAACCUUUAUUAAAUGCAUGAAAUAUGGAAUAAUGUUUUCAUAUUCACAAAUUAUUACUAAUCCAUAGGAAUUAGAUUUGAGAUUAGAAAAUAUUUAUAAUGUUUUCUAAAAUAAAAGAAAGGGCUUAAGGUAGGAUUAGUAAAGGAAAUAAAAAUGGUGGGUUAAUAUUUUCGGGUAUUUUGUGUGUUGGCUUGCAACUUUAUCAUGAUAAAUUGUGUAGUCACUUGUUGGCUUGCAACUUUAUCAUGAAAGAAAGUUGUAUAGUCUUGUAUUCAAAAAUUGCAUCACUAACCCCUGCAUGUACUAUAUCAUAGACACCGAAGCACCUGGAGGGAAAUUCUUGGAAUUAUCUGAAGGACCUUCGGAAUUUGAGGAGAUCGUUGAAUUGAUCUCCUGUGAAGCCAGUCCGUUGGACAACGCUAACAUUUUUACAGAUGAAGGCAAGCCCCGGUGCAUCUAUACCUAUCUAUUUGAAAGUAUUAUUUCAUGGGUCCAAUUACUGGUUAUUUUUCAGAUGAAUGCAUUAAGUCUAGGAAUUGAUUGAAACCUAUUCUUGUGCAUGAUCCUGCCUUGUUUUAAGGACAUCUUUGCCACUUGUUCAAUAAUUAGUAAUUAACCCAUGCUUAGCAAUGCUUAGAUAUUUAAAGUAACUUGGUUACCGAACCUUAAGGUAAAUUGUUGGGUCAUACAUGCUAGAUAUGGAAAGUUAGCUUGGAAAUUUGGGAAGCCGACAGAAGCUAGAGAUGUUAAUUCUAUCUGCUAGAUUAAGUUGGUUAAGGCCUGAUCGUUGUCUUAACCUUUGAUCAAGUGAAUGUCACCUGGUUGAUUACUGGGUAUGGGACCAACAAAGCCCGGUAGGUUAGUAGACUCUCUGAUCGGGAAUAUUUCGUACCCGUGCUUGACGUGCUGGAGAUUGGCAGGAGCGUAUCCUGAAACUCAUAUGGAGAUCGGGCCAGAUGUGGGGUCCCAUGUGGGGGUGCGUCCCUGGGUUCGGGUAGUCUUAUUCCCAAUCUUUGGGUAUGCUAAUCGAAAGGUCGUUAUGUAUGACCCGGACAGUCGUACAUAGCUGGUGAUCAGGGUGCUCUCUUGCAGGAUGUAAAUUGAUCCGGAUCACUGCAAUUCUUGGUUAUGAAUGCACUUGAUCACUAUUAAGCAUCGUAGUGUAAUCUCAUGAAUGCAAUGUCUGUCCAAAUUAAUUUGUUGUAUGACUUAAUUUCCUACUAUUUGCAAUAGUAUUUCUUUUUCAUCAUCUAGACUGGUUACGUGAUAACUCAAUUGAAUUAAAAGACAAAGUUAAGGUUUCACUUUUAGUAAGCUCUUUUGGCAAAAAUGUGAGUCAGCCAAUACACUAAACAACUUUCAUGCAGUUCCAACAAAAAAGGUAUUAUAUGGGUUAGUCGGGUUAGUCUUGCUGAGUACCCUGUACUCAGGGUUUUUCCCUCGUUGCUAUUUCAGAGCCACAACAGGUGUCCGCCGAAGAAGAAGCCCCGAAGCACUAGGGUAUUUUUUAAGAGUCUCGUAAUACCCUAGAAAAAAAACUUAGAUGUGUAUCUUUCUCCUGGACCAGUUUAUGUUUUAAACUCUUAGAACCGCUCUAACCUGCACUAUUAAGUUUGCUUCAAACUAUGGUCUGUAAUAAUUCGUACCCCAGUAUGUAUGUAAAAAUGUAAUGUUUGUUGGUGCUUUCCCAUCGUGGAAGCGAUCCCGGUGUAUGGCUAUGAGACAUGUCAUGGAUCCUUCGAGGAGUCCUAGGGACACUCGAUGGACUACCGGACUUAUGCUGUUUUAAGUGCGUUUCGGAUAAUUGCUGUUCUGACAGCGAUUAGGCGCAUUUAAACUAGUUUAAGUUGGACGGUUCCGCCAUAGUACACCUCCUUGAUGAAACCGACCGCUAGGAGUUUGGUGAUCUCCUCGCCUAUAGCCCUACGCCUUUCAUUGUCAAUGCAGCGCAGGCGUUGCUUGACGGGCCUCGAGCUCAGGGCGAAUUUGCCGGACUCCAACUCCAGGGUCCUGCCGGAACCUGGUGGACUAGUUACUUGGCAAGACAACCUGUUGGAAGGGAGAUCACUUGGGAAAAGUUUAAGGAAGCAUUUCGUACGCAGUUGGUACCGGAGGGGAUUCUGCGAAUGAAGCUGCAGCAGUUUCUGAGGCUUCAGCAGGGGAGUCGUAGUAUUCUGGAAUAUACAAAUGAAUUUGAUCACUUAGCUCAGUAUGCUCCAGAACACGUUAACACGGAGUCCAAGAAGAGGGACUGUUACCUCCGGGGACUCAACGCACGGAUGCAGGAGAAGCUGUCUACCUGCACCUUUGCCGACUAUAGUUCUGCGGUAAACGUGGCCAUUACCGCGGAGGAGAAGAUGAAAAUGCUAGAUGAAGCCUUGAAGAAAGAAGAAUCCUUGAAAAGAAAUAAUACUUCCUUUGGGACAUUCGGGAAUGCCCCUCAAAGAAUGAAGGUUGUAUAUCGAGGUCCUCCUCGACCUGCAUAUCGACCUUCUUUCCAACAGAGACCACUUCAGCCCUGGAAUGUAAGAAAUCCUACAAAUAUUCCUCACCCUGUAAGUGCUUCGCCUUCUGGGUUUCGCAGUCCUACUUCCCUAGGGAACACGCAAGUUAGUUUUAACUAUGGGAAGCCGGGACACUUUGCCCGGGAUUGUCGUUUUCCCAAGGUUGGGGGAAAUGUGAACAUGAAAGCUCAAACCUCUGGCCAAGGCGUUGGACAAAAAUUUGUUCGGCGCAAGUUUCUGAACACCAAGACUGGGCAAGCACAUUAUAUGAAUGUAGAAGAGAUUCCAGAGGGCGAGCCUAUUCUGGCAGGUACGUUCCUUGUAAAUGACUACCCUGCCAUGGUUCUAUUUGAUUCGGGUGCAUCACAUACUUUCAUAAGUAGAGAAUUUGUUAAGCAGCACCAACUAGAAGUACACACCUUAGACACCAAAUAUGCUAUCCAAGCCACUGGAGCUACUCAAAAUACAAAUCAAGUAGCUCGCGAUGUGAUUCUGAAUUUAGAAGGAAAUAAGGUGGGUGCUUAUCUUUAAUUUUGGAAGAUCAAGGAAUAGAUAUCAUUUUGGGGGUAAAUUGGAUGAAAGAACAUAAAGUUGAAAUUGAUGUGGAUAACCGAAUCGUUAGUAUAAGGGAUACCCGAGGACACCCUUUUAAACUCCAAUUACCCGCUCGUCCUUGUCUAGACCAGAUGGUUAAAAAUACUAGAGCAGUGACUCUAGAAUCUAUUCCUGUGGUUAAUGAGUUUGUAGACGUAUUUCCUGAAGAUCUUCCUGGGUUACCGCCUGAUAGAGCGGUAGAGUUUACUAUUGAGCUAGAACCUGGCACUGCCCCCAUUUCCAGAAGACCAUACCGAAUGCCACCUAAGGAGUUAGCAGAAUUAAAAGUUCAACUCCAAGAAUUACUAGAUAAAGGUUUUGUUCAGCCUAGUACUUCGCCGUGGGGCUGCCCAGCACUUUUUGUUAAAAAUAAAGAUGGUACAUUGAGGUUAUGUGUGGAUUACCAUCCUUUGAAUGCGGUAACCAUUAAGAACAAGUAUCCGUUGCCACGGAUUGACUUGUUGUUCGACCAGUUAGCUGGAGCCAAGGUCUUUUCUAAAAUUGACCUUCGGUCAGGAUAUCAUCAGAUUAAAAUAAAACCCGAAGACAUACCUAAGACAGCCUUUUCAACCAGAUAUGGGUUGUAUGAAUAUUUGGUGAUGUCCUUCGGAUUGACAAAUGCCCUAGCGCAUUUUAUGUACCUCAUGAAUUCAGUAUUCAUGCCAGAGUUAGACAAAUUUGUGGUAGUCUUUAUUGAUGAUAUCCUAGUCUUUUCUAAAAAUGAGGAGGAACAUGCGCAGGAUCUGCGUAUUGUUCUAAAUAGACUCCGGGAAUACCAGUUAUAUGCCAAAUUUAGUAAAUGUGAAUUUUGGUUGAAGAAAGUUCCAUUCCUUGGGCACAUUUUGUCCGAAAAAGGAAUUGAAGUGGAUCCCGGAAAGGUCAAGGACAUAUUGGAUUGGAAGCCACCAACAUCUAUGCAUGAAGUGAGAAGUUUCCUAGGGAUGGCUGGGUAUUACCGUAGGUUCAUUCCCAACUUCUCAAAAAUCUCCAAGCCAAUCACUGAAUUAUUAAAGAAAGAAGUGAAAUUUGAAUGGAGCUCCGAAUGCGAAGAAUCAUUCCAAAUAUUGAAGAAGCUACUAACUACAACACCAGUACUGGCUCAACCUGAUUUGGAGAAAUCCUUUGACGUGUACUGUGAUGCCUCAGGAAUCGGGAUAGGAUGUGUUCUUAUGCAAGAUGGUAGAGUUAUUGCCUAUGCUUCUCGACAACUAAAGCGACAUGAAGAACAUUACCCUACCCAUGAUUUGGAGCUUGCCGCUGUAGUUCAUGCAUUAAAGAUAUGGCGACACUACCUUCUAGGUAGUGACUGUUGUAUAUUUACAGACCACAAGAGCUUAAAGUACAUCUUCACUCAAAUGGACUUGAAUAUGAGGCAGAGAUAGUGGCUGGAACUAAUUAAAGAUUAUAAGUUAGAAAUCCAUUACCAUCCAGGUAAGGCUAAUGUGGUGGCCGAUGCUUUAAGCAGGAAGGCCUAAUGCCACCGCACCACUAAUCAAUCUAGCUUUAAAACCUUGCGUGAAGAGUUAGAAGAUUUAUGUUUGGAAAUAGUGAUGCAAGGUACUCUCCAGAACAUUAUCUUACAAGACACUCUAAAAGAAAGAAUUAUAAUAGCCCAGAAGGAGGAUCCAUGGGUAAAGAUGCUUCAAAAAUAGAAAACAGAAGGAAAAAUUUCUGGAUUCACUCAAGAAAAGGAUGGAGGACUGUAUUUCAAGAAGAGGAUUGUAGUUCCCAAGGAUGAAAAUUUAAGGAAGAUGAUUCUGGAUGAAGCACACCUGUCCAAGUUCGCUAUUCAUCCCGGAAGCAACAAAAUGUAUCAAGAUUUGAAGCAGAGAUUUUGGUGGGCCAUGAUGAAGCUAGAGAUUGCAAGAUAUGUAGCCGAAUGCGAUACCUGCUGAAGAGUUAAACCGAUCCUUCAAAAAUCUGCUGGUUUGCUUCAGCCUUCGGCAAUUCCUGUUUGGAAGUGGGAAGAUAUUUCCAUGGACUUCGUAGUCAGGUUGCCUACUACUUCAAAAGGGCAUGAUUCCUAUGGGUUAUUGUUGACCGACUUACUAAGUCAGCCCAUUUUGUUCCCAUCAAGACUACAUAUCCAGUAUCAACCUAUGCAAAGAUCUAUAUGGCUCGGAUUGUAUCCCUGCAUGGGGUACCAAAGACACUUAUUUCCGAUCGAGUCUCUCAGUUUGUUUCCAGGUUUUGGGAACAACUGCAUAAAGAUACGGGAACUACUCUAAUUAGAAGCUCUGCCUAUCAUCCUCAAACUGGGGGACAAAUAGAAAGAGUCAACCAAAUCUUGGAAGACAUGUUAAGAGCUUGUGUCCUUACUUUCUCAAAGCUAUGGGACGAAUGCUUGCCCCUAGCUGAGUUCUCCUAUAAUAAUAGCUAUCAAGCUAGUAUUAAGAUGGCACCUUUCAAAGCUUUGUAUGGUCGAAGGUGCCGAACACCCUUGAAUUGGUUAGAAGUAGGAGAAAGGACACAUUUGGGGUCGGAUUUGGUUAUGGAAACUAAAGAAAAGGUCUGAAAAAUUUGCAAACACCUUGAAAUAGCCCAGACCCGACAAAAAAGUUAUUCAGAUAAAAGAAGACGGUCUUUAGAGUUUCAUGUUGGGGACUUCGUGUAUCUGAAGGUAUCUCCGAUGAAAGGAGUGCAACGUUUUGGAGUAAAGGGUAAACUAGCUCCAAGGUAUAUUGGUCCUUAUGAGAUUCUGGAACGAAAGGGUCCGGUAGCGUACAAGCUUUCAUUGCUAGACCAACUUGCCUCUAUACAUGAUGUAUUUCAUGUAUCAUAGCUGAAGAAAUGCCUGAGAGUUCCAGAAGAAAUUUUAGAAGACCCGGAAGUUGAGCUAGAACCAGACCUGACCUAUGAGGAGAGGCCUAUUAAAAUUCUAGAUCAAAAGACAAGAGAUACGCGAACCCGAAGUAUCACGUUUUACAAGGUGCAAUGGAAAAAUCAUACUCCAGAUGAAGCUACUUGGGAACAGGCAGAAGAAUUAGAAUCCAAGUAUCCCGAGUUAUUUGAAAUUGUUGAGAUUAGAUAAACAGUUAAGCACUGAACAACCACCUCACUUCCUUUAUACAGAAAAGAGAAAAAUUGUUGGUCUGACGCAGUUUCCUUUCCAUUCUCCAAAUUGAGAGUUUAACAUCUCGAAUCUCGGGACGAGAUUCUGCUAAGGGGAAGAGGCUGUAACACCUCGUGUUAAUAACACCCUAAAGAUACCAAUGAGAAGUGGUAAUGAUGUUUGGAGAAAAAAGAAAGAAAUUUGACUCAAAGUCAAAUUUGAGUCGAAUUUAGCCAAAAUUUGCAAUUUGGAGAUUUAAAUUUGGAAAAAAUGUAGCAAAAAUAUGAAGUUGAGGCUUGAGGAAGUUUAGAACUCAAGGGAAUGAAAUUGGACAUUAAAUCAAGCCCUAAACUCCUCAAGAAAUGUCAUUGAAAAUCAAAAUCAAGUGAGUACUAUUCACUGUCCGAAAACAGGAACUUCAUAAAACAAUACCAGUAUGCAACUUGGAAAUUGAUUUCUGCCAAAUUUUCAAGGUAAAUGGACAAAGGUAUCUGAACAACAAUGAAAUAUGAUCUAUGGACAAGAUUAGUAGGGUGUUGUUGAUCAGGAAUAGUAAAGGGAUCAAAUUUAAAUUGAGGCUCAAAGUUAGCACUCUGGCCAUUUUCGGCCCACCUACGGAAACUGCAUUUUUCUUAAGUUAGAAAACAGCAGUAAGUGGCUAUGUUUGGAGUAAGAUUCAGAGAAAAGUAGUGCAAGAGGUAUCUUCCUUGAAUCUUCGAGAGUUCUUCCUUGAAUCUUUCUGUUGUGGUAUCUGCAGAGGGUUUGCUUGUAACGAGCGGAGCGGAUGAGGACAGUCUCUCAUGCCUCCUCGAGUAGGUCGAUCGCGUCCUGUUGAGCUUCCGCGGCUCAGUCCAGGUCGAAAGCUUUUACCCUUGGGGUGUCAUAGUCGAGGUCGGAUGGCAACACCGCUUCAGCUCCGUACAUCAAGAAGAAGGGAGUGAACCUUGUGGACCGGCUCGAGGUGGUCCUCAGGCUCCAGAGGACCACUGGGAGCUCCGCAAUUCAUCGGCCGGCGUGCUUCUUGAGCCGGUCAAAGAUGCAUGACUUGAGCCGGUGAAACUGCCUGGGGCCUUUUUGAGGGCCCCGACCAUGUCGAGGCCCCAAAUCGUGAAUGGCCAGGUGAUGGGGAUAGUUUGUAGCUCCUGCGCUGGCACGUGAGUCUAUCGAGCAUAGAACUGGCACCCCUAACACCUGCGGACCACCUCCUCAGCAUCGUGCAAUGUCGAGCCGCGCCGCCUCCUGCCGCGCUCUAUUUUGGUGUGAGGAAGAAGAAGGUGCAGGCGCUGAGGGGCCCGCGUGUCAGUAGAAGGAGAGGGAGGUUGGGCCGGUUUAGCAGGCCGGGCGCCGGAGGAAGAAAAAGAAGAGGAGCAGGUGGGCCGGUGGGCCGGCAGAAGAAUAAGAAGGGAAGGGGGGAGAAAAUGGACCAGUGCCGUGGGCCCAACGCGAGUGAGAGAGGGUAGAGAGGGAGCGGGUGAGAAAAGUUAGGCCAGGAUUUUAGGAUAAAUCUUAGGUUUUCCUUUUAUUAGAUAAUUAUUGUAAAUUCAUUUUUCACUAUUUAAAUCACAGAAAUUUCUAGGAGUAUCCAAAAUUAGUGAAACCAAUUUUGUUAGGAUUGUUUUAUUUUCCUUUAUGCAUUAAAGUUCUUAUACCAUAGGAAAAUAAUAAAAUUUAGGUAUUUGUUUAAUGCCUUUUCAUUAAGGUAUUCAAAUAAAUACUUAACCUUUAUUAAAUGCAUGAAAUAUGGAGUAAUGUUUUCAUAUUCACAAAUUAUUACUAAUCCAUAGGAAAUAGAUUUGAGAUUAGAAAAUAUUUGUAAUUUUUUUCUAAAAAUAAAAGAAAGGGCUUACGGUAGGAUUAGUAAAGGAAAUAAAAAUGGUGGGUUAAUCUUUUCGGGUAUUUUGUGUGUUGGCUUGCAACUUUAUCAUGAUAAAUUGUGUAGUCACUUGUUGGCUUGCAACUUUAUCAUGAAAGAAAGUUGUAUAGUCUUGUAUUCAAAAAUUGCAUCACUAACCCCUGCAUGUACUAUCUCAUAGACACCGAAGCACCUGAAGGGGAAUUCUUGGAAUUAUCAGAAGGACCUUCAAAACUUGAGGAGAUCGUUGAAUUGAUCCCCUGUGAAGCCAGUCCGUCGGACAACGCUAACAUUUUUACAGAUGAAGGCAAGCCCCGGUGCAUCUAUACCUAUCUAUUUGAAAGUAUUAUUUCAUGGGUCCAAUUACUGGUUAUUUUUCAGAUGAAUGCAUUAAGUCUAGGAAUUGAUUGAAACCUAUUCUUGUGCAUGAUCCUGCCUUGUUUUAAGGACAUCUUUGCCACUUGUUCAAUAAUUAGUAAUUAACCCAUGCUUAGCAAUGCUUAGAUAUUUAAAGUAACUUGGUUACCGAACCUUAAGGUAAAUUGUUGGGUCAUACAUGCUAGAUAUGGAAAGUUAGCUUGGAAAUUUGGAAAGCCGACAGAAGCUAGAGAUGUUAGUUCUAGCUGCUAGAUUAAGUUGGUUAAGGCCCGAUCGUUGUCUUAACCUUUGAUCAAGUGAAUGUCACCUGGUUGCUUACUGGCUAUGGGACUAGCAAAGCCCGGUAGGUUAGUAGACUCUUUGAUCGGAAUAUUUCGUACCCGUGCUUGACGUGCUAGAGAUUGGCAGGGCGUAGCCUAAAACUCACAUGGAGAUCGGGCCAGACGUGGGGUCCCAUGUGGGGGUGCAUCCCUAGGUUCGAGUAGUCUUAUUCCCAAUCUUUGGGUAUGCUAAUCGAAAGGUCGUUAUGUAUGACCCGGACAGUCGUACAUAGCUGGUGAUCAGGGUGCUCUCCUGCAGGAUGUAAAUUGAUCCGUAUCGCCGCAAUUCUCGGUUAUGAAUGCACUUGAUCACUGUUAAGCAUCGUAGUGUAAUCUCAUGAAUGCAAUGUCUGUCAAAAUUAAUUUGUUGUGUGACUUAAUUUCCUACUGUUUGCAAUAGUAUUUCUUUUUCAUCAUCUAGACUGGUUAGGUAAUAACUCAAUUGAACUAAAAGACAAAGUUAAGGUUUCACUUUUAGUAAGCUCUUUUGGCAAAAAUGUGAGUUAGCCAGUACACUAAACAGCUUUCAUGCAGUUCCAACAAAAAAAGCUAUUAUAUGGGUUAGUCGGGUUAGUCUUGCUGAGUACCCUGUACUCACGGUUUUUCCCACGUUGCCAUUUCAGAGCCACAACAGGAGUCCGCCGAAGAAGAAGCCCCAAAGCACUAGGGUAUUUUUAAGAGUCUCGUAAUACCCUAGAAAUAAAAAUUAGAUGUGUAUCUUUCUCCUAGACCGGUUUAUGUUUUAAACUCUUAGAACCGCUCUAACCUGCACUAUUAAGUUUGCUUCAAACUAUGGUCUGUAAUAAUUUUUACCCCGGUAUGUAUAUAAAAAUGUAAUGUUUGUUGGUGCUUUCCCAUCGUGGAAGUGAUCCCGGUGUAUGGCUAUGAGAGACAUCAUGGAUCCUUCGAGGAGUCCUAGGGACACUCGACGGACUACCGGACUUAUGCUGUUUUAAGUGUGUUUCGGAUAAUUGCUUUUCCAACAGCGAUUAGGCGCAUUUAAACCAGUUUAAGUUGGGCGAUUCCGCCACAGUACACCUCCUUGAUGAAACCGGCCGCUAGGAGUUUGGUGAUCUCCUCGCCUAUAGCCCUAUGCUUUUCAUUGUCAAAGCAGCGCAGGCGUUGCUUGACGAGCUUCGAGCCCGGUGCAAUGCGUAGUGCGUGCUCGAUGACCUCCCUCGGGAUGUUCGGCAUGUCAGCAGGCUUUCAUAUGAAGACGUCCCGGUUGGCACGCAGGAAGUCAACGAGCUCGCUUUCCUAUUUAGCCGAGAGCUUUGUCCGAACCCGCACUGUCUUGGUCGCAUCACUGGGGUCAAUCUCCACCGCCUUGGUGUAACGACCGACCCCUAAUCUUCCCAGUUAGGUUUGAUCUCAGCCCUUAACCUCCGUCAGUUGUUCUGUUAAUCGCACUUAAGUGCUCAGUUUUCCGCCAGUUCCGACCCCUGAGACCCGACCCCUACCGCUUCGUUCCUUUUUCCCGACCCUGGCGAGUUCAACCAUCCGUCGGAUCCGGUCAAAUCUUCCUCACCGUCCGAUCUUUUCCCCGGUGGAUCCGCGAGAUCUUUUCCAGAUCCCCCGCAUCAGCCGCACUCGAGUUGCAUGGCCGCCUCAGAGCCUUCCUGCCGCGUGGCUCGCCAUCUCCGACGCCACCGCUCAGUUUUGUCUCUGGCAAGCGACCGAGUGGGUUCCCGCGCCCUUUUUCCCCAAUAGCAGCGGAAGCCCUCUGCACCCCUUUCUGCAGAUCCUCGCUCCCCGCGCCCAUCAUCACGAUAACAGAUCUCUGCCCCAGAGACCGAUGUCGCCCGUCUUUUCCGUCCUUUCCAGCCACAGUUGCGCCGCCCGGUCGUCGCUACACGACGAUUCCCCCACCGCCAACCCCGACCGCGGCCGCGACAGUUCCUUUCCCCGCCCUGUCAGACGCCGCCCGACAAUCUGUUGUUCCGCGCUCUCCCCCGCGCCGCGUUCGCUUGUUCUCCCACCUGUGCGCCCUCGAUUCUAGCGCCGUUUAACCGGUCCCUUCUAUCACCUCUUCCGCACGGCGACGCCCGCUUUCCGCCAAAUCCCAACUACCGGUCUACCCGCGCCUACGCCGCCCUGACGGAGUAGCGCAAUGAUCGCUGGCGUCACCCCCGGAGUUCUGUUGCACCGCCCGGUUUGCUCAAUCGCCGCCACAGCAGAGCACUCCAUUGCUUCUCCCCGGCCUUCGCGCCGCUUCCCUUCUCUCUCCCCGCGACGUUUCCGUUCCUCUGCUCCCGCAGCUAUAAAAGGAAUGCCCCCGUCGCCGGAGUUCGCUCCGCCUUUGUUGCCCUUAGUUUCCUCUAGCUCCCUGCUCAAGCUCCUAGCACCAUCCGCCCAAUCUUGAGAAGUUCUUCUCCCAGUUCCUUCUCAAUUCAUCCAAGUCACCCCGCAGCUUGCUCCCUUGUGCUGCGCAAGAGCUCUCUUGCGAUCUGCAAGAAGCAUCGCCGCCGGAGCACCGCCGGCCUUAGUUCCCGCUCAAAGCUUUAGUUCCGCGCCCAAGUUAGCCUCUUCCGACCCCAAGCUUUCCUUUCAGGAAGAAGGUGAGUGCCGACCCUAAGUUCGCUUCGCCCGACCCCUCCUAUCCGCCCGACCCCAGUUCCGUCUCGUCCGACCCUGUUUGUUCGCCGACCCUUGUCCGCCUCGCCCGAGGGCUUGCUGUGAUCUUUUUCUUCAACUCGAGGGUGUAUGUGUAAAACGUGGGAACCCUUCAGCGCCUACGUCUGAGGAUCCCAGUUAUCACAUCCUCUAGUUCAAGGAUCAGACCACUCGUUUCUUCCUACCCUUACCUGUUGAUCAUCAUCAGCUCUCUCAAACAGUCUCCAACUCCUGCUCUUUGUCGCAAGUUUCUGGGCUCAGGAGAGCCAGUGUUGCUGUCAAUCAAAACGAUAAGCUAACCCUUGCAUUGCAUUCGUGUAGAGCUGCAUCUCGCCGACGGCUUCUACGAGCUGCACCCGGCGCCCGAAGAAGAAGCGGUAGCCGAGUUCCCGCCCGCUGAAGUCGAAGACGCCCCCGAAGCCGAGCAGUUCCAGCCUUCCUUGUUUGCAGGCAAGCCCCGGUUGCAUGAAAUUCCUACGUGUCUUGCCAGACUUGCACAUGCCUUCCGAAUAGCAUGCUUGUGCAUUUACGUUUAGGAGUUGUGUGAAACCCUAGAUGCAUGAUUUAGUAACCCUUGAUAUGAGCACUAGCUGUUGGACCGAGUAGCUGCAUUGCUUAAAUAGGAAAUGGUAAAAGCCGAGUGAUCUCCUGUCACUCGCGAGUUGUAGGAGUUGCAUGUUUACUCUCCUGUUACAACUAUAAGGACGAUGGACGGGGCAGGGUUUGGUAACAUUUUGGUGGUUGGAUGGUUGCCCCGUCUGUCUAUGAAAACUUGCUAAGGCCCGACAGUGGUGGUGUUCGUGAUCAAGUGUUUGAAAGUACUAGCCUCAUACUUAGUAUGGGAUGAGGAAGCCUAGUACCUGAUUGAACCUAGACGUGAGCGGUCGCCCCAUUGUUCUUGGAACGGAGUUUCCCCUGCUGGUUGUCGCACGUGGUGGCAAUGUGUGGUCACAGAACGGCAGAGGCCGGGUCUGUGGAACCUUGCACCAAAGGAAAUGGGCCCGACACGGGUUAGGGGAUCGAUGGGGAAGGCCGACACAGGAAGCGACCUCCGGGUGCGCGGAUGUCGUGGGGCUAGGUUCACCAUGCAUGGUUAAAGAACUCGAAUCGAUUCGUCUUCCUCUCACAGUUUGAGAUUACUUGAUCACUAUGUCACCCUGAGUAAAUGAGGAAUCUGAUGAUGGCAAUGUUGUUGUUUCUAUCUAUACACUUGUUUGGCUCGAUGUUUGUUUAUGAUAGGUUGCACAACCUAGACUGGUAAAUAAAUAUAGAACCGGAGCUAAAACUUGAAAGUAGGUUACUUAGCGCUUUUGGCAAAUCAAACCCCUCAGCCAAGAAGCCGUGCAUGUCUAGUUGGAAGAGUAGCUGGCUCCUCCCCGGUUAAGUCUUGUUGAGCUUAGUAGCUCAGCCUUGUUGUGGCUCCUGUUUUUCAGGUGAAGUUGCAGCUUCCGACCCCUCCCUUGUUGGUGCUUGGCCGCCCCAGCUUCCGCCAGGCUGGACGGUCGAGUGGGACCCCUCCUCGGACGGCGAGGAGAGGAUUCAGUGAUGUUCUGGCUGGCCUCGCCCGGACGUCCGACCCCGACGAAGUCUUCCGCUAGCGUUUUCCUCUGUUGUUCUUUUUAUGAAACUCUGAUGUUAAUUUCAUGGCCGAACUAAUUAAGUAAGAAUGCUUAACCCAGUGGACUUGUUGUAUUCUCUGUAACCGCUCACCUUCGUGUGGGUCUGCUGAACUUGAUCCUGUUUAAAGUGGUUAAAUCGGAUGAAAUCCGACGGUACUUCAUGUUAACUCGGUUUAGGCAGUGGUGUCGCAUGUUAGGCGGCUUAACCCUGCUUAAUCAGGCUAACCCGAGGUGGUUCCGCCACAGCUGGUACCAGAGCCGAGUUCAGCAUAUCAGAGAACCCAAUGAGCCCUAAACACUUCUUGAAAAUGUAAAAGUUGCAAGAACUUUUCAAAAAUCUCGUACAAACGUUAAGGAUGACUUAGUGCGAGAGGCCCUAGGGGAUUUUGGGGUUGUUUUAGGUGACUAAAUAAGUAUCUGGUUAUGUUGCUAACUCCUCCAGCACUUCGCCACGUCUGUUAUACGUGAGCCGAGUUCCGCAUCGCGAGCAUGCGAGGGUUGAUAGGGAGUUCCAUUCAAGGGACCCUAUCUUCGCGGUUGUUUUCGCCCACGUCUAUCAUACGUGCGCAGGUUCCGUAUGUGAUCCAUACGAGGGUUGAUAUGGUUCGAUUCCAACGAACCUAUUGGCACGGUUGUUUCGCCACGUUUGUUAUACGUGUGCCGAUGCCGCAUCGCGAGUAUGCGAAGGGUUAUAUGGUUCUAUUCGGAAGGAACCUAUUUCCACAGUUGAGUGCUGUCCAUGCAGCCUUAAACGCAUGGGUGACGUUCCUAUAGUGGACGGUAAUGUUUGGGAACGCUUUCGUGGGUGCUGGCACGAAAGGUUCGGGUGUGUGCUUUCUGCAGGUUGCUAACCGCGUUCGUUAAGACGUUGCUAGAACUGACUAGAUAAUAUAGGGAGAGACGUAUUGUUGCCUUGUCACCAGCGCUGACCGCGUAAGACCCAAGGUUCGGGCAGUUGUCUUUGGUUAAGAAUAUGGUAGGCCGUGCAUGCGUCAUACAGAAAUCGGUAAUGUUCCUUCUCAACAGCAACCCUGUCCGACAGAGUUCCUUCUAAGGAUUUCUAGCUCCUCUUAGUUGCUUUCGGUUAAGCCCUUCUGCUUCUCUAUCCGACCCCUGAUCUUUGGAGUUAUCUCACAUAGCUUCGGUUUUCUGGUUCCAGAUGGCUGCUCCCGGACAUGUGGUGUUUGGAGCGGACGGUACCUUCCAAUCAACCUGCCUACAUUUCGAGGGGUUUCCCGCGAUCUUGUGGGAUACGUUGAGAUGGUUUGGAUAUCAGUCCCCACCCCUAUACUCUGGGCGGCUGUAUGUGGAGCAGGGCAUCCAGACGUGCCAGGUGCAAGCACUGGUGCCACCCCCUUUUGUGCGGCCCGACUGGACCUCUCUGGGCAUCAUAGCCUACGGUCUUUCUCCGGAAGAUACGUGGGAAUCCGCCGCUCUCCAGUUGCUCACGCAGUUCUGUCAGUUCCACCCCGUGGAGAUCACCCUGGACCCGAUCGGUCUUUUUCCUGUCAGAAGUCGGAUGGACCCGGCCUGGCUGGACCGUAUCGGCAAUCUUGAGGUGUUGGCCGCUACCUGCGCCAUGCUCACUAUCUCCACCAACGUCAGAUGCAUGGCUGCGUUCUACCGGCUGAUCGAGCUCCAAGGAAGGGCCAUGACACUCUUUGCUCGGACUGCUACGGACACCCACGUGUACCUCCAAGCAGCUAGAAGAGAUCUGGUAGGCCAAACCUACCAACUGAUCCAACGUGGAAUCCAGAUCCACGACAUGCAAGACCGGAUCUCCGAGCUAGAAGGAGAAGUUGCUGACCUUGUGGACGGUAUGAUCGAGCUCUCGGAGGAGAAAAUGGAGGUGGAAAUGGAAUUGGCCGUUGCCAAUGCCCACCUAGAGGAACACCAAGCUGAGCUUGAAGACAUGCAUGCCCUCAACAUGCAACUUGAAGCUCAGGAGGACCCUGAGGAAGACGAGGGAGCGUCCAGCAUGGACAUAGAAGAAGAUGGCGCCCCUUCUCCGACUCAUAGCGUCCAGUGGUAGUUUAAGGGUUCUCAGGGAACCUUCUUUCUUUUGUUGUACUCCUCGGCAGCCUAGUUUUGGAAAGGUUGUAAUAGGUUAGCCUUGAGUUGAGUACUUCCUGAGUUGAAACGACGUUGUGUAUAAAGUCAAUCCAGUGCAGUGUACAGUUCUAUCCUUUCGUAUGAUGUGAAUGCCAAGGUUAAGUAAGUGGUGCCGACCCUGUGUUGUUUUUCGGGGAGCCUGUUCAGUUGGCCGACCCUUAAGACCGUCACCGCCUUGUCCGACCCUCUGAGAGUGCGGACCGUAUCCGACCCCUUGGUUCGAGUGGACCCGACCCUAGGAGUCUGUAUGUGGUGUGGUUACCUGAGGUGGAGUACCAGGGCAAGUAGGGGCUAUCUGUGAUGAAAUGGGAGGAAUGUGCUUCCUCUAUAAGGACGUGUGAUGCACCUUUGGCAAGAGUUGCAUCAAAGGAUUUAAUUCAUACGUUCCCAUUCGUUGGAAUACACCUAAGGUCAUGAGAUUAAUGGGGCGUUAACUCUUGCAGAUGGCGCACCGCACGAGGUCUGGAACUAUGCCCAGCAGCAGUGACCAGCGCCAGGAUCUUCCCCCGCCCCCGCCACCAUCGCCCUUGGAGGCAAUCCUAGCAACUCAAACCGAGCUGCUCAGGCAUUUGGUACAAGGACAACAACAGCCACAUGGCGGCAGAGCACAGCAGCAGCGUGUCGCAAGAUAUGAGGACUUUUUGGGAACACAGCCCCCGCUGUUCCAAAAGACCCAGGAACCGCUCGACGCUGAUGCAUGGGUUCGGACGAUCGAAUCCAAGUUCGAGCUCCUUACCGCUCCAUGCCCCGACAACAAUAAGGCGCGGUUCGCAGCUCAGCAGCUGCGUGGUUCCGCACGGCUUUGGUGGGACCACUACCACGCCAUGCUACCUGCUGACCACGUAGUCAGCUGGGGCGAGUUUAAGACGGCGUUCAAGGCGCAUCACAUUCCUGAAGGUCUCCUGGAGCGAAAGCUCAACGAGUUUCUGGCCCUCACCCAGGGAACUAGGGAUGUGCUGCACUACGCCCAGGCGUUCAACGACCUGUGCCGUUAUGCGGGGUAUCAUGCGGAUACCGAUGAGAAGAAGCGGGACAGAUUCCGCCGAGGAUUGAGCUUGGAGCUCAGGGAGAGGCUGAACCCCAUCCGGGUGGACACCUACAACGAGUUGGUCAAUCUGGCCAUCUCCCAGGAGGAUUGCAUGCAAGCUCUCAGGGCCGACCAGAAGAGGAAAGCCUCUGUGGCUCUUCCGAGUCCGCCAGCCCGAAGGUUUCGGAUGAUCCCUCCACAAGCCCCUGGCCGACCCCAACAGUCAGGGAAAUGGAUCGCCCGACCCCCGCCGGCAACAAUGCCCAGUUCUCCAGGCUUCCAACCACAAGUACCCCGGCCGACCCUACCAACGCCACCUCGUCCGGCAGCGAGUAACAGAUGUUUUACCUGCGGUAAUGAGGGGCAUUUUGCAAGGGACUGCCCCAGGAGCAAGACUCAGCAGCAAGGCCAGAACCCCAUGGCAGCCCGAGGAAGAAGGCCCAAGGUACAAGUCCGACAAGGCCGACUCAACUACACCAGCUUGGCUGAACUUCCCGAAGGUGCGUCAGUGAUGACGGGUACUUUUCUUGUUUUAAAUCAAGCUGUUGUGGUGUUGUUUGAUUCGGGAGCCUCCCAUAGCUUUAUCGGGAGUAAGGCAAGGGAAAGAUGUGGGCUAAGUGUAGGUCACACUAAGGAACCCUAUGUGAUCGCCACUCCUGGAGGAAGGAUAACGUCGGAUCAGGUCGUUAUUCUUGUACCUCUCCAGCUAGGCCCCACCCUCUUCAAGGAAAACCUUAUCAUCCUUGACCUCGAAGGCCUAGACGUCAUCCUUGGCAUGGAUUGGAUGGCUCGACAUCAUGUUGUUUUAGAUACCUCAGCCCGAUCUCUUUUCGUCAGCUCGCCCUCUCAUGGCAGUGCUACCCUAUCCUUGACCCAUCCUGAGUCCUUGAACCCUUGUGCUUUUUCUCUCUUGGGAACCCGUAUAGAAGACCUCCCUGUUAUCUGUGAGUACCCAGAUGUGUUUCCAGAGGACUUACCAGGCAUGCCACCUGACAGAGAAGUGGAGUUUUCUAUAGAGUUAGUUCCUGGCACAGCUCCGAUAUCUAAGAGACCCUAUCGGAUGCCACCCGCUGAGUUAGCAGAGUUGAAGACCCAGCUGCAUGAUCUGUUGGAAAAGGGUUUCAUUCGACCCAGUACGUCAUCUUGGGGAUGCCCCGCCCUGUUCGUGAAGAAGAAAGACGGCAGUUUACGGAUGUGUGUGGAUUACCGACCCCUCAAUGCGGUAACAGUCAAGAAUAAGUACCCACUGCCCCGCAUUGAUGUCUUGUUUGACCAGUUAGCCGGAGCAAAGGUGUUCUCCAAGAUCGAUCUUCGUUCUGGCUAUCACCAAAUCAAGAUUCGACCUUGCGACGUACCCAAGACAGCUUUCUCUACCCGAUAUGGAUUGUAUGAGUACCUAGUCAUGUCCUUUGGACUCACCAAUGCACCCGCUUACUUCAUGUACCUUAUGAACUCGGUGUUCAUGCCCGAACUGGACAAGUUUGUAGUGGUGUUCAUUGAUGAUAUCCUAGUGUACUCCAAGGACAAAGAAGAGCAUGCCAACCAUCUUCACAUAGUUCUUCAGCGACUGAGAGAUCACCAGCUGUAUGCAAAGUUCUCCAAGUAUGAGUUUUGGUUGGAUAGUGUCAAGUUUUUGGGACACACUAUCUCCAAGGACGGUAUUGCCGUGGAUCCCAGCAAGGUACAAGAAGUCAUGGAAUGGAAGUCUCCUACCUCAGUACACCAGAUCAGGAGUUUCCUUGGACUUGCAGGUUACUAUCGGCGUUUCAUACCGGAUUUCUCCAAGAUAGCUAAGCCGAUGACCGAGUUGCUGAAGAAAGAGAUCAAGUUUGUGUGGGACACCAAGUGUGAAGAAGCCUUCCAAACCCUGAAGCACUUGUUAACCACCGCCCCAGUUUUGGCUCAACCCGACCCCUCUAGGCCGUAUGACGUAUACUGUGACGCCUCCGGCACUGGACUCGGGUGUGUUCUUAUGCAAGACAACCGAGUCAUUGCCUAUGCCUCACGUGCAUUGCGACCUCAUGAGCUGAACUACCCGACCCAUGACCUUGAGUUGGCAGCAGUAAUACAUGCCUUGAAGAUAUGGAGGCACUACUUAAUGGGAGCUCACUGCAACAUCUACACCGACCACAAGAGCCUCAAGUACAUCUUCACGCAAGCCGACCUCAAUAUGCGUCAGAGAAGAUGGCUGGAGUUAAUAAAGGAUUAUGACUUGGACGUGCACUAUCAUCCUGGCAAGGCCAAUGUGGUGGCCGAUGCCCUCAGUCGAAAACCUCGUUGCAACUGCUUGUUGGCAGCAGCCUUCACCGACACCUUGUGUCACGAGAUGGGAAAGCUAAGUCUAGAGUUUGUUCCCCCUGGAACCCUUGAUCACAUCGUCCUUGACUCAGUUUUGGAGGACCGGAUUCGGUCAGCACAAGCUAAGGACGAAGAAGUGAAACGGAUCAUCAAUAAGGUCUCGGUAAAAGACGAAGGGUAUAAACUUUUCCGGCAGGACCAAACGGGAGGUGUGUACUAUGGAAAUCGACUAGUAGUGCCCGCCGACCCCGAGUUAAGAAAGCAGAUCCUAGAUGAAGCUCAUCUUUCCAAGUUCUCCAUCCACCCUGGUAGCAACAAGAUGUACCAUGAUCUUCGUCAAACCUUUUGGUGGAGUGGGAUGAAACCGGAGAUAGCUCGUUAUGUUUCAGAAUGCGACACUUGUCGACGUGUCAAGGCCAGUCACUUGAAGGUAGCAGGAACCUUGCAGCCGCUACCUAUUCCCUCUUGGAAAUGGGAAGACAUCAGCAUGGAUUUCAUAGUUGGGUUACCCCUUACAACUCAACGGUACGAUUCUAUCUGGGUUAUAGUAGACCGUCUGACCAAGACCGCACACUUCUUGCCUGUUCGUACCACCUACACAGUCAGGCAAUAUGCAGAGUUAUACCUUGAUCGUAUCGUUUCUCUACACGGUGUACCCAAGACCAUAGUUUCAGACAGAGGAGUUCAGUUUGUGGCACGAUUUUGGGAGCAACUACAAGCAUCUAUGGGCACCAAGCUCAUUCGAAGCUCAACAUACCAUCCCCAAACCGAUGGCCAAACCGAGAGAGUCAACCAGAUCCUUGAAGACAUGUUAAGAGCUUGUGUCAUUCACUAUGACAAGAACUGGGAUAAGUGCCUGCCCUUAGCAGAGUUCUCCUACAAUAACAGCUACCAGGCCAGUUUGAAGAUGGCACCGUUUGAGGCCCUGUACGGCCGAAGAUGCCGAACACCCUUGAACUGGUCCCAACCAGGAGAAAGACAGGUUUAUGGCCCUGACUUAGUGGCAGAGGCUGAAGAGCAAGUAAGAGUAAUUCAGGCAAAUCUCAGGGCUGCCCAAUCUCGGCAGAAGAGUUACUCCGACCAACGGAGAAGACCCCUGCAGUUCAACCUUGGCGACCAUGUGUACCUUAGAGUCUCCCCGACCAAAGGAGUGCAACGGUUUGGAGUAAAGGGCAAGUUAGCUCCCCGUUACAUCGGCCCUUAUGAGAUUGUGGAGAUAUGUGGACCCGUCGCUUACAGGAUCCAACUUCCAGAGCAGCUGUCAGCCAUACAUAAUGUUUUCCAUGUGUCUCAGUUGAAGAAAUGUGUCCGAGUUCCAACAGAAAUCCUAGAACAAGAACAGCUUCAAGUGGAACCUGACCUGACAUACACCGAGUACCCAGAUCGAGUUCUUGACCAUAAAGAGAGGCACACCCGACGCCAAAUGGUAAAGAUGUACAAGAUCCUCUGGAGAAAUCACACCGAAGAUGAAGCAACAUGGGAAACGGAAGAAUAUCUAAACAAGCGUUUUCCAGGUUUUCUAUCCCAUCAAGGAGGUAAGAACAGCACACCCUUGAUCUUGAAUCUCGGGACGAGAUUCUUUUUAAGAGGGGUAGGUUGUAACGACCGACCCCUAAUCUUCCCAGUUAGGUUUGAUCUCAGCCCUUAACCUCCGUCAGUUGUUCUGUUAAUCGCACUUAAGUGCUCAGUUUUCCACCAGUUCCGACCCCUGAGACCCGACCCCUACCGCUUCGUUCCUUUUUCCCGACCCUGGCGAGUUCAGCCAUCCGUCGGAUCCGGUCAAAUCUUCCUCACCGUCCGAUCUUUUCCCCGGUGGAUCCGCGAGAUCUUUUCCAGAUCCCCCGCAUCAGCCGCACUCGAGUUGCAUGGCCGCCUCAGAGCCUUCCUGCCGCGUGGCUCGCCUUCUCCGACGCCACCGCUCAGUUUUGUCUCUGGCAAGCGACCGAGUGGGUUCCCGCGCCCUUUUUCCCCAAUAGCAGCGGAAGCCCUCUGCACCCCUUUCUGCAGAUCCUCGCUCCCCGCGCCCAUCAUCACGAUAACAGAUCUCUGCCCCGGAGACCGAUGUCGCCCGUCUUUUCCGUCCUUUCCAGCCACAGUUGCGCCGCCCGGUCGUCGCUACACGACGAUUCCCCCACCACCAACCCCGACCGCGGCCGCGACAGUUCCUUUCCCCGCCCUGUCAGACGCCGCCCGACAAUCUGUUGUUCCGCGCUCUCCCCCGCGCCACGUUCGCUUGUUCUCCCACCUGUGCGCCCUCAAUUCUAGCGCCGUUUAACCGGUCGCUUCUAUCACCUCUUCCGCACGGCGACGCCCUCUUUCCGCCAAAUCCCAACUACCGGUCUACCCGCGCCUACGCCGCCCUGACGGAGUAGCGCAAUGAUCGCUGGCGUCACCCCCGGAGUUCUGUUGCACCGCCCGGUUUGCUCAAUCGCCGCCACGGCAGAGCACUCCAUUGCUUCUCCCCGGCCUUCGCGCCGCUUCCCUUCUCUCUCCCCGCGACGUUUCCGUUCCUCUGCUCCCGCAGCUAUAAAAGGAAUGCCCCCGUCGCCGGAGUUCCCUCCGCCUUUGUUGCCCUUAGUUUCCUCUAGCUCCCUGCUCAAGCUCCUAGCACCAUCCGCCCAAUCUUGAGAAGUUCUUCUCCCAGUUCCUUCUCAGUUCAUCCAAGUCACCCCGCAGCUUGCUCCCUUGUGCUGCGCAAGAGCUCUCUUGCGAUCUGCAAGAAGCAUCGCCGCCGGAGCACCGCCGGCCUUAGUUCCCGCUCAAAGCUUUAGUUCCGCGCCCAAGUUAGCCUCUUCCGACCCCAAGCUUUCCUUUCAGGAAGAAGGUGAGUGCCGACCCUAAGUCCGCUUCGCCCGACCCCUCCUAUCCGCCCGACCCCAGUUCCGUCUCGUCCGACCCUGUUUGUUCGCCGACCCUUGUCCGCCUCGCCCGAGGGCUUGGCUGUGAUCUUUUUCUUCAACUCGAGGGUGUAUGUGUAAAACGUGGGAACCCUUCAGCGCCUACGUCUGAGGAUCCCAGUUAUCACAUCCUCUAGUUCAAGGAUCAGACCACUCGUUUCUUCCUACCCUUACCUGUUGAUCAUCAUCAGCUCUCUCAAACAGUCUCCAACUCCUGCUCUUUGUCGCAAGUUUCUGGGCUCAGGAGAGCCAGUGUUGCUGUCAAUCAAAACGAUAAGCUAACCCUUGCAUUGCAUUCGUGUAGAGCUGCAUCUCGCCGACGGCUUCUACGAGCUGCACCCGGCGCCCGAAGAAGAAGCGGUAGCCGAGUUCCCGCCCGCUGAAGUCGAAGACGCCCCCGAAGCCGAGCAGUUCCAGCCUUCCUUGUUUGCAGGCAAGCCCCGGUUGCAUGAAAUUCCUACGUGUCUUGCCAGACUUGCACAUGCCUUCCGAAUAGCAUGCUUGUGCAUUUACGUUUAGGAGUUGUGUGAAACCCUAGAUGCAUGAUUUAGUAACCCUUGAUAUGAGCACUAGCUGUUGGACCGAGUAGCUGCAUUGCUUAAAUAGGAAACGGUAAAAGCCGAGUGAUCUCCUGUCACUCGCGAGUUGUAGGAGUUGCAUGUUUACUCUCCUGUUACAACUAUAAGGACGAUGGACGGGGCAGGGUUUGGUAACAUUUUGGUGGUUGGAUGGUUGCCCCGUCUGUCUAUGAAAACUUGCUAAGGCCCGACAGUGGUGGUGUUCGUGAUCAAGUGUUUGAAAGUACUAGCCUCAUACUUAGUAUGGGAUGAGGAAGCCUAGUACCUGAUUGAACCUAGACGUGAGCGGUCGCCCCAUUGUUCUUGGAACGGAGUUUCCCCUGCUGGUUGUUGCACGUGGUGGCAAUGUGUGGUCACAGAACGGCAGAGGCCGGGUCUGUGGAACCUUGCACCAAAGGAAAUGGGCCCGACACGGGUUAGGGGAUCGAUGGGGAAGGCCGACACAGGAAGCGACCUCCGGGUGCGCGGAUGUCGUGGGGCUAGGUUCACCAUGCAUGGUUAAAGAACUCGAAUCGAUUCGUCUGCCUCUCACAGUUUGAGAUUACUUGAUCGCUAUGUCACCCUGAGUAAAUGAGGAAUCUGAUGAUGGCAAUGUUGUUGUUUCUAUCUAUACACUUGUUUGGCUCGAUGUUUGUUUAUAGGUUGCACAACCUAGACUGGUAAAUAAAUAUAGAACCGGAGCUAAAACUUGAAAGUAGGUUACUUAGCGCUUUUGGCAAAUCAAACCCCUCAGCCAAGAAGCCGUGCAUGUCUAGUUGGAAGAGUAGCUGGCUCCUCCCCGGUUAAGUCUUGUUGAGCUUAGUAGCUCAGCCUUGUUGUGGCUCCUGUUUUUCAGGUGAAGUUGCAGCUUCCGACCCCUCCCUUGUUGGUGCUUGGCCGCCCCAGCUUCCGCCAGGCUGGACGGUCGAGUGGGACCCCUCCUCGGACGGCGAGGAGAGGAUUCAGUGAUGUUCUGGCUGGCCUCGCCCGGACGUCCGACCCCGACGAAGUCUUCUGCUAGCGUUUUCCUCUGUUGUUCUUUUUAUGAAACUCUGAUGUUAAUUUCAUGGCCGAACUAAUUAAGUAAGAAUGCUUAACCCAGUGGACUUGUUGUAUUCUCUGUAACCGCUCACCUUCGUGUGGGUCUGCUGAACUUGAUCCUGUUUAAAGUGGUUAAAUCGGAUGAAAUCCGACGGCACUUCGUGUUAACUCGGUUUAGGCAGUGGUGUCGCAUGUUAGGCGGCUUAACCCGGCUUAAUCAGGCUAACCCGAGGUGGUUCCGCCACACUUGGUCUCUUCGAUCGGACUGAAGGCGCUCAUGGAGGUUGGCUCAUUGUAGUCGGGCAUCGCUGGUGCUAGCUCCUUCCCAAGCUUUGGGAGCUCAGCAGCACUCGUGUUUGCAUGUGUAGGCGUGCGAGAAGGUGCUACCCAUUGUGAUUGUGCCGUGCGGUCCCAGCAUCUUCAGCUUGUGGUAGGUGUAGUUGGGGAUUGCCAUGAACCUGGUGUAACAUGGCCGUCCCAUGAUGACGUGGUAGCACCUAGGGAAGUCCACCACCUCGAAAGUUAGGACCUCCGUGCGAAAGUUGGCACGGUCACCAAAUGUGACGGACAGGUCGAUCUACCCGAGCAGGUAUGCCUACAUCCCCGGGAUUAUGCCGUGGAAGGGCGUGCUCACCAGUUGGAACUCGGACCGUGGGAUGUGCAUGGCGUCCAGGGUCUCAACAUACAAGAUGUUGAGGCCGCUGCUCCCCGCCCAUGAGCACCCGGGUGAGGCGCUUCUUGUUGACGAUGGGGUUGACGACCAGCGGGUACCAACCCAAUCGAGGGAUGCAAGGCGGAUGGUCCCUCUAGUCGAAUGUGAUCGGGUAGUUCGACCAGCGUAGGAAAGUAGGGACAGAUGAGUCAAUGGUGGGAGCUUGUGAACUAGGGACUUGCAUAUUAUCCCUGGGAGGAACGCGCCGACAACGUCAGGGAGGGAGUUGCACUGCUUCAAGAAUCUGUGGAUGUAAUCCCGCAGGGACUCGUUGGACUCUUGCUUGCAACUCUUGAGGUCCCAGGAGUUCCCAGGGCAGACCUAGGUCCCCUAGAAGUUCCCGACAAAGACCUUCUUGAGUUUCGCCAUGUCACGAAUGCUGUUGGGCGGAAGGAAUUCGAGCCACGCUUGAACAAACUCCCCUACGCAGAUGGGGAGGUACUGGAUGAUGAAGUAUUCAUGGUCUGCUCCUCCAGCUCGGCAGGCAAGUCGGAAGUCCUCGAGCCAUACAUCGAGCUUCGUCUCCCCAGUGUACUUGGCGAUGUUGGUGGGCGGUUGGAAACGCUGCGGGAAGGGCACCUUCUGGAUGCGGCGACCGAAAGCCGGAGGCCCUGGUUCUUCCAGGUUAGAGCUUCAUUUGCUGCUCCGGUCGCUCGGUCGGCCACCACACCUGGGGUGCACCUUCUCGUGCUCCUCAUCGGACCGGUCGCGGUCUGCGUCAGCCACCCUCGCCGCCAUCUGAUGGACGUCGGCGUUGUUCGAGCUAGGCGUCGCGCGUUGUAACGCCCGUAAAAAUUACCAAUUUAAAUCACUCGUUAAAAAUGUAUUCCAAAAUUUUCCGACGGUUGAGCUCCCGAAAAAUCCUUUCCUUCCCGUCGGACCCGCCGUCCCGGCACCCGAUGUCGUCAACCCUCGUUUUCCGUUCCCCGCAAAUUUCACCGCGUGCCGGUCGGAAGACCGCCGCGCGUGCCCGCGACCAUUUCCGCAAUGGCCGCCAUCUAUUUCUUUUUCCUUCUUUCCCUUCUUUUCCUUCUUUCUUUCUUUCUUUUUCCUUCUCUUUCUUUUCUUCCUUUUUCCUUCUCGCACCAGCAGCACCUUAUUUUUUUCCUACGCAUGCAUGCAUGCUUCUCGCACCAGCAGCACCUCAAUUUUUUCUUACGCAUGCAUGCAUGCAUGCAUGCACCAUUUUUUUUAUUUUAUUUUCUUUCCCUUGGAACCUGGUGCUGGCCGCAUGCACCGCUUAGCUCCGCAUGCAGGCUUCUCUUUCCUUUUUACUGGCCGAGUGCUUGCUUCUCCUUGGCACACGUGCCUGCACCUGGCCCUGUUUGGUCACUGCAUGCAGCGUUCCCUGACUCCCACACGCACAACACUUAUCCUCUACCGCGGCCAGCACUGCACCUGGCGUCGGGACCUGUGCGCCUGCCCCCUCAGUCACCUCCGGCACCUGACCUCGGACCUACCAGCGCACGCGCCAGCGCUAGCGCACCCCUAGCCCCUCGCACGCACCCGCUCGCCCAAGCGCCCGUGCAGGCUCUUGCCGCCGCUCCACCAUAGCACGCCGCUUGCCCGCACCAGACCGCCCGCACUCCGCUCGCCGCCCCGCGCCCGGCCGCUGCUCGUCGCACGCGCCCGCCCGAGCGCAUGCGCCAGCGCUCGCUCCGGCGCCCGCCCGCUCGCCCGCGCCCGCCUGCGCACCACACGCCCGGCCUUUGGCGCCUAGCACCUAGCCGCACGCGCCGCGUCGCCGGCCGCCGAUCGCCGCCGUCCCACCACACGUCACGCCGGCCAUCACCUCGAUGGACUCCCUGUGCUCCUCGUCAACCGAGCCACCACGCCAUCCACGAGGACGUCCACUCCGGCACGCCACUGGCCCGAAGUCCGGCCGCCAUCAUCACCUCCGACCUCCGCCCGCCCCUCCCGUCACCUAUAAAAGAGGGCCAAGGCCGACCGCCCCUGCCACCACCUCACCUCGCCUCCUAGCUCGCCCCCCCUUCUCCAUCGACCCCGUGCGCCGCCACCAGAGCUCCGCCCACCGCCCUUUUUUCCAACGCCGACCCCCUCGCUUCCCAUCGCUGAAUCCCCAAGGUGAGGGUCAAAACGGAGUCCCCUCGGUCUCCUCUACCUCCCCCGCCGCUUGGUCUCACCGCCGGCGAGCUUGACUGGCCAGCCCACCGCCGGGUUGCCUCCUACCUCCCUGUACCCGUGCUCGAAAAAGAAGAAGGGGAGAAUCCCCUUCAAUUUCGAUCUAAUCCCCUCCUUUCCUCUAAUUACAAACCAGCCCUCCCACCUCUCUCAAAGAAGUUUCGCGAAUACGCCCUUCCACCUUCCAAAAAAAUUACAAAUAGGUCCCUGGUUCUCGCAGUUUAGUCCUAAAACCUUGUUUUAAGCCCCUAACACUCCUUUAGCUCGUCAUUUCAUGUGCCAAACUUCCUCCAAUUGAUCCCAAAUUUGACCCCGGCCUCCUCUCAUAUAUUUUCGCUGAGGCACAUCCAAAUUUCAUGAAAAUACCUCUAUUACCUAUUUUCCGUUCACAUUCUCUGUUCGGAGCUCGACGGGUAAAAUCUUAUUUCCUUUUUAUUUAUUGUGUGCUCAUUUGUGUGUGUCGUAGAUUGCGGAGUACCCGAGGAGGAGCACGAGGAGGAGUUCGACCGCGAGCCCGAGCCCGAGGACCAGUACCGCGAGCAGGAGCUCCCGGAGGGCUUUGAGAACGGCAAGUCCAAUCUCACGCUUUGAUGCAUAUUUAAUACCUAGUUUUUCAAACACAACCUAUUGGCCUGUUUUAUAAAAUGCAUAUUGUUUUAUUGCAAGACAUGGUUGGAUAGCCACCCCUUGACUGUUAUGAUUAUUCCUUGUUGACCUAUAUUUGUCUCUAAAUAUGAGUUGCUCUAUUUAGAUGAUAAAUACUGCUAGAAUGCUUAGGAACUCGUUACUCAUAUUCAAUCAUAACCACACUUGUUUAUUCAAAAAAUAAAUGUGUGAGUGUGUUCAACUGAGGAGAUGGGUUUUUGGGUGUAAAGAGAAGUGGUGUAUGGGCGAGAUGGAUGGGUGUUUCUUGUGUGAAAUGCCAGAUUGUUAGGCUCGUACCUUAGUGGUUGAGCAAGGUCGGGAGAUAUCCAUCUUGUCAUGGCUAAGGACCGAGUUGAUGUGUCAUCUUACCUAAUUCAACCAUCGUGCAACCACUCGACCGUUGUAUGGGCAACGGCUUAGCAUAAACCCCACUAGCUAAAUUGCUAGGCUUCAGGUGUGCUGGUGAGCAACGGGAGCCCAUGGCAAAGGAGUAAGCUCUUGGUGACUUAGGUCCCGGUUCCGGCCUCGUGGAUAGGCCGUUAACCCCUUGGGUGCUCCUGUGUUGACUAGUCAGUUUUGGCUAAGGUGGGUAAUGGCUUUGUUAGGAUCUGCACCGUCACUAAGGUGAUCGUGUUGCGGUACCCUACUUGUGGGAAAAGUGUACAACCUCUGCAGAGUUAAAACCUAUCCGGGUAGCCGUGUCCAUGGCAUUGGACGAGUUACGGCUUGGUCACAUAACUAGCAUUUGGAGAUGGUUGGUUUUUAUGGCGUGUGUUGGAUUUUGGAAGUGUCCAGCAGUUGUGCCGAGCACUACGGCGGACGGGGAGUCCGGUAGCGAUAAAACUUGGAUCCUUUGUGUAGGAUCAACCCCACUUAAUGUUUCGGUUACUAAACAAAAUGCCUUGCGAAAAUUCUUUGAAAUAAACCCCUGCAUGUGUCCAAAAUCUAGCUUUAUUGCAAAUGAACCUUAACCAUAUCCUUGUUGUACCCUGUGCAUAUUCUUGUUGUAUCCCCCUCCAUGGAUGGGGUUGGACUUGUUGAGUACCUUGUACUCACCCCUAUUUCGCUGCUUCAGAGGAGGACCCGGACUUCGAGUAGGAGGUUGCGUCUGCACCCAACGCUGCCUGCGGUGUUGGCCCUUUUGCAGGAUGCUUCCGCUAACGCAUAGUUCCGAUUGCAGCCCGGAGUCCGACUGGACUGCAACUUGGAUUUGUAUUGUUAUCGCUUUAGUUUUACUUUGGGUGUGGCUUGCCCACCCGCUCCUUCGUGAGCUGUACGGUUUCUGAACUAUCUGUUGAAUAAAUGUGUUAUCAGCUUCCUGGGACUGAUAAUUGGAUCACAUUUAGUCUCUACUUAUGUGGGGACGCUUCACGCGUGGAUGAAGCUGCGUACGUCACGGUUCGGCCCGAUCCGCUCGUGCACAGGCUAACGACGUGGAGCCGGUACCAACCCAGUCGAGGGAUGCAAGGCGGAUGGUCCUUCUAGUCGAAUGUGAUCGGGUAGUUCGACCAGCGCAGGAAAGUAGGGACAGAUGAGUCGACGGUGCAUACCUGUCGGUAGCGCACCUUGCGCUGACACUUGGAGUGGUCGACGUCGGACCCCCUCGAAGAUCAUCAGGCAGGCUUCGGGGUCGGGGAAGCCUUCUCCUUCAUUGCUUGGGGCGCCUCCCUUCUUGGCUGCAUCCUUCUUGCCUUUCCCUUCCCUGGCUUGCUGGCUUGCCGCAUGAAAUGCUUCAGAAGCUCGUAGUCCUUGUACAAGUGCUUGACGGGGAAGGUGUGCUUGGUGCAGGGGCUCUCCAUGAGCUUUUUGAAGUGAUCGCUCUAGCCCUGCUGGGCUUGCUUACCCGAUCGGUCGGCCGCGGCGACCAAGGCUGGGUCAGUUGGGCAGCGUCGAUCCUUCUUGUUUUUCUUACCCCACUGGGUGGAGGAGCCCUCAUCCCGAUCCUUGCACUUGGCUUUGCCCUUGUCCCAACCGGUGUUGAAGACUUCCCCGACCGCCUCCUUGACGAAGGCGUGGUUGGUGGCGAUAUCGAGCAGCUCGCGGGUGGUCUUGGGCUUCACAUAGCCGAGCUUGUGAACUAGGGACUUGCAUGUUGUCCCUGAGAUGAACGCGCCAACAACGUUAGGGAGGGACUUGCACUGCUUUGAGAAUCUGCGGAUGUAAUCCCGCAGGGACUCGUUCGACUCUUGCUUGCAACUCUUGAGGUCCCAGGAGUUCCCAGGGUAGACCUAGGUCCCCUAGAAGUUCCCGACAAAGACCUUCUUGAGUUUCGCCCAGUCACGAAUGUUGUUGGGCGUAAGGAAUUCGAGCCACGCUCGAACAAACUCCCCUACGCAGAUGGGGAGGUACUGGAUGAUCAAGUAAUCAUCGUUUGCUCCUCCAGCUCGGCAGGCAAGCCGGAAGUCCUCGAGCCAUACAUCGAGCUUCGUCUCCCCAGUGUACUUGGAGAUGUUGGUGAGCGGUCAAAAACGCUGCAGGAAGAGCACCUUCCGGAUGCGGCGACCGAAAGCCCGAGGCCCUGGUUCUUCCAGGUUGGAGCUUCGUUUGCUGCUCCGAUCGCUCGGUCGGCCACCACACCUGGGGUGCACCUUUUCAUGCUCCUCGUUGGACCGAUCGCGGUCUGCGUUAGCCACCCUCGCCGCCAUCUGAUGGACGUCGGCGUCGUGCCGAGCUAGGCGUCGUGCGUGGAUGAAGCUGCAUACGUCACGGUUCGGCUUGAUCCGCUCGUGCACAGGCUAACGACGUGGAGCCGGUACUGGGUCGGGUUGUGGUGCGGCCGCGGCGCUCUGCCCUACACGAUGAGGCUGCGAGGGUAAACGAAUGGAGCGGUUCGGCUGAUGCGGCCCUAGUGCUCCGGUUGGGCAAGAAGCCGCAUGGCGCUGUCAUGGCGCGGAGCUUCCCGCCUGCUAAACGGCGGUGGUCUCCACCAGCACCCGGAUGUUCCAGUGGAUCGCUUGCUCCUGUGGAUCGACGCGUUUGUAUAUAAAAACUUAAGUUUUAUAUUUAACUCCAAAAGAGCUCUUUUAGGGUCAAAAAGGACAUUUCACCUCUUUUGCUUAGUGACUAAUGACUUCUUUUAGUUUAAGUACAUUUAAUUAAGGCAGAGUUGUUACAACAUAUAGUUAACAGAUUGUUGAAUCAAGUGUAAGAAAAUGUUGAAUAAUAUUCAUGGAGGAAGAUUGAUGCGCUACAAUGGUAGUGCUAGAUGCCUAAUAGGUUUAAAGUUACUAGUCCAUCAACCCGUGCUCCAGCACGGGUCAAUAAUUUAAGAGCUGUUGUAUUGUAAAGUUUUCAAAAAUUAGAUCCCUUUCUAAUAAUUAAAUUUGUCUACCUACUAUUCACUCAUUUAUUUAAUAUUCUAACACAAUACUCGUACAUAUAUGUACUUAUUCUUAUCCAAGUGUGAUUGUCUUUAAUUUAGUAAUUACUCUAUACACAUUUUCAUCGACGUUAAUAUCUUUUCACUUUGCAUUGCAACUCCAUAUAUUGUGUUUAACAUAAAAAUCAAUAUUUUCCAUCGCUUGCUCCUGUACAUUUAUAAAUGGUGUAUACGAUGACACCCAUCAUGCGUAAACUUAACAUAGUAUUUCUAUACUAAUAAUGAUAAAAAUAGAUAAUUUAGAAUCAUAUAUUAAUUUACUUUUCGAUAUUUCUUUAUAAUGAAACAUGCAUAUAAUUUGAUUAAGAUUUAGUUGUUAAUUUAGGUUAGUUUUAAUAACGACACACGUGGAUAAUUUAGUACAAAUCUAGAAGAAUAUUUUAAAUUUUUUUUAUAAUGACAUGUAUGGAUAAUUUAGUUGAAUAUUACGGGGUUACUUUAGAUUCUUUUUAUAAUUGCAAAGGUUAAUAAUUUAGAUAUAAUUUUAGUGGGUUUUCUUAAAAAUAUUUUAAUAAUGAUCGUGUUGUCUAUUUUUUAGGAAACUUAAUAGGCUAAUGGAUGUAAUUAUUAGAGUGUAUAGGAUUGAUUUAUGGAUAUUUUUUAUUUUUGUUUGAAUCUUGAAGGUUUAUUUUUUUCCUAGCGUGUCUCGUGAGAAUUAUUGUGGAUUCUUAAAUUCAAAAAAAAUGAGGGUUCAUAGCUAACAAUAAAAAAUGUUAGCUUGAUAUCCCCCCAUUUGUUAAAUAUUCUAACAAAAUACUUAAAUAGAUAUAUAUUUAGUGUCUUCACCCGAUUGUGAUAGACAUUAGUUAGUAAUUAGUCUAUAAUACUUUAUCCAUAUUUAUAAUCUUUAUUUUUUUUCCACAUUGCAUUGCAUAUAUGCGCUUGAAUAUGUUUAAUGGAUCUAAAUUUGAGCUAUAUUUUUAAUAUGAAAAUCUAUAUUCUUAUCAUUUCCUCUGUAUAUUUAUAAACAAUGACACACAUCACGCGUAUAUACCUUAAUUAUUAUUUUCUAUACUAUCAAUGUAAGAAAUAGAUAAUUUAGAAUCAUAUAUUGGUGUACCUUGUGGUAUAUUUUUAUGAAGGGUUAUUUGAAUUCAAGUUUAAGCUUACCUCAUGUUAUUUUUAAUAAUUACAUAUGUGGGUAAUUUAGAUACAAAUUUCAAGGUUUACUUUAAUUUUAGUUAUAAUGCUAGUGGUAGGCAAUGUAGAUGUAGUUUAUAGAGUUAUUUUAAUUAAUUUUUAUAAUGGCAUAAGUGAAUACUAGGAUAUUAAUUUAGUUUGUUUUGUAUAAUGGUAGAGGUGGAAAUAUUUAGAUAUAAAUUUAGGGGGUUACGUUAAGCUACUUUCGUAAUGGCAGAGUAGGUAUUUUUUUGGAAAUAUAAUAGAUCCAAUGGCUAUGAUGAUGUGAUUGCCAAAUUGAUUGCUAGAUGUUUAGCUUUUCUGAAAGAAUUUUUAAAAAACUUUUCUAGAAUGUUCACCUAGGAUUCUACGUGGUAUCAUGUGGACAAUUAGAUAUGAG
rnacentral:lncRNA from 1 species